UACGUAGGGGGCGAGCGUUGUCCGAAGUUACUGGGCGUAAAGCGCGCGUAGGCGGUCAUUUAAGUUCGGGGUGAAAGGUUCAGCGCUCAACGCGAACAGUGCCUUGAAUACUGGGUGACUUGAGUUCGGGAGGAGGGCAGUGGAAGUUCCUGGUGUAGCGGUGAAAUGCGUAGAUAUCAGGAGGAACACCGAUGGCGGAAGGCAGCUCUCUGGGACGGUAACUGGACGCUGAGACGCGAAAGCCGUGGGGAGCGAACAGG
rnacentral:rRNA from 1 species